CCGGGCUGGAGUACAGAGGUGCAAUCUCAGCUCACUGCAACCUCCGCCCCCCAGGUUCAAGCAAUUCUCCUGCCACAGCCUCCUGAAUAGCUGGGAUUACAGGUCACAUUCGUGGUACCAGAGAUGAGAACUUCAACAUUAUCUUUCUGAGGGAUACAACUCAACCCUGAACACCUGCUUACACAGGAAACGCACAGAGCGCCACAAGACAUCCAGCCACCGGACUGUGGGAAUAAG
rnacentral:lncRNA from 1 species